GAUGGAUAUCUUUGGGAGCCAGUGCAAACGCAACAGUUUUGUAAGGUAGGGCAUAGGGUGAAUACUGCCAGAUAAGUCUAGCCUUACAGGUCUGUUGCGUGUGCUUUUAUUUGAUAAAUUCUAACUGAAUUGGUAGCACAUGAACUCCAUAAUAACGAAUCGGUUACAACAUAAGCUAGGAUAUACCUUUAAAC
rnacentral:sRNA from 1 species